rnacentral:rRNA from 1 species
GCUUACGGCCAUACCAGCAUGGGUACGCCCGAUGUCGUCUAAUCUCGGAAGCUAAGCAGGGUCGGGCCUGGUUAGUACUUGGAUGGGAGACCGCCUGGGAAUACCAGGUGCUGUAAGAA